CUUCCUAUCAUUGUGAUGCAGAAUUCACCAAGUCUUGGAUUGUUCACCCACCAAUAGGGAACGUG
rnacentral:rRNA from 16 species